rnacentral:rRNA from 1 species
ACGUAGGGUGCAAGCGUUGUCCGGAAUUACUGGGUGUAAAGGGAGCGCAGGCGGACCGGCAAGUUGGAAGUGAAAACUAUGGGCUCAACCUAUGGAUUGCUUUCAAAACUGCUGGCCUUGAGUAGUGCAGAGGUAGGUGGAAUUCCCGGUGUAGCGGUGGAAUGCGUAGAUAUCGGGAGGAACACCAGUGGCGAAGGCGACCUACUGGGCACCAACUGACGCUGAGGCUCGAAAGCAUGGGUAGCAAACAG